rnacentral:misc_RNA from 1 species
GAUGAAGAACGUAGCGAAAUGCGAUAAGUAAUGUGAAUUGCAGAAUUCAGUGAAUCAUCGAAUCUUUGAACGCACCUUGCGCUCUUUGGUAUUCCGAAGAGCAUGCCUGUUUGAGUGUCAUGAAAAUAUCAACCUUGACUUGGGUUUUGUGCUCUAGUCUCGGCUUGGAAUUGGGUGCUUGCCGCUUUUACGAGCGGCUCACCUUAAAUGUAUUAGCUGGAUCUGUCUUUGAGGCUUGGUUUGACUUGGCGUAAUAAGUAUUUCGCUAAGGACAUUCUUCGGAGUGGCCUCGUUUCUAGGACGCUUGUCCGCUUUCCAAUACAAGUUCCACCUCGUGGACAUGACUUUUUAUUAUCUGGCCUCAAAUCAGGUAGGACUACCCGCUGAACUUAAGCAUAUCAAUAAGCGGAGGA